rnacentral:rRNA from 1 species
UACGAAGGGGGCUAGCGUUGCUCGGAAUCACUGGGCGUAAAGGGUGCGUAGGCGGGUUUUUAAGUCAGGGGGGAAAUCCUGGAGCUCAACUCCAGAACUGCCUUUGAUACUGAAGAUCUUGAGUUCGGGAGAGGUGAGUGGAACUGCGAGUGUAGAGGUGAAAUUCGUAGAUAUUCGCAAGAACACCAGUGGCGAAGGCGGCUCACUGGCCCGGUACUGACGCUGAGGCACGAAAGCGUGGGGAGCAAACAGG